UCCGGUUUGUCACCGGCAGUCCCACUAGAGUGCCCAACUGAAUGUGGCAACUAAUGGCAAGGGUUGCGCUCGUUGCGGGACUUAACCCAACAUCUCACGACACGAGCUGACGACAGCCAUGCAGCACCUGUCUCACGGUUCCCGAAGGCACCAAUCCAUCUCUGGAAAGUUCCGUGGAUGUCAAGACCAGGUAAGGUUCUUCGCGUUGCGUCGAAUUAAACCACAUACUCCACCGCUUGUGCAGGCCCCCCGUCAAUUUCUUUGAGUUUUAAUCUUGCGACCGUACUCCCCAGGCGGCGCAUUUAUCGCGUUAGCUUCGCCACAGAAGGGGUCGAUUCCUCCUACAGCAAAUGCGCACCGUUUAGGGCCGGGACUAC
rnacentral:misc_RNA from 1 species